ACCAGAGGUCAUGUCGGCCCAGCCCAACUAAAGACAGACGAGAAAAAUCGUUGGAAAUAAUGUAACACGCUUCGGCUAUGGAGUCUUCUCCUUCUUCGCUUUCGCAUUGGGAAUAUUUCUUCUUAUUAAUUCUGCGUCCAGUGCUUGCUAUCUCUUUCGUGUCCUUGUUCAUGUCUCUGGGUAUCUUUCUGUUUUCGUUGUUGAUUUCUUUGUUAUUUUAUUAACUUAAAGAUUAAAAGAAAAAAAAAAAUUAGAGGGUUUGGUUAGAGAAGAAUGCAAACGUUUCAGUAAAUAAUUGCCUCCACCACAAGGCAGACAUUUAUCCAACCAAUGAUGAAAUCUGAUGGUGGGAUUGAGGCAUUGCAGAAUAAACAUCUCCAGAUCAGUGGAGAUCAAACUUCUUGAGUACUUGUGAUCUUGUCAGGAGACAAAGGGAGAGUUACGGAACAAAUACAAUACAUAUUGUUGGAUCCUAAAAAAGAUAUUAACAAUGAAGAUUCCAGUGUAUAGAUAUAGCAAUUAUGUUUUUUGAACAUAGACUUGGUGGUGUUCUGAAAUUCAUAAAAGAAGAUGCAUUACGGUAACAUUAGCUGAUA